rnacentral:rRNA from 1 species
UACGUAGGGUGCAAGCGUUGUCCGGAAUUAUUGGGCGUAAAGAGCUCGUAGGCGGUUUGUCGCGUCGGCUGUGAAAACCUGGGGCUUAACUCCGGGCCUGCAGCCGAUACGGGCAGACUAGAGUUCGGCAGGGGAGACUGGAAUUCCGGGUGUAGCGGUGGAAUGCGUAGAGAUCCGGAAGAACACCAGUGGCGAAGGCGGCCCGCUGGGGUGAGGCUGACGCUGAGGCGCGACAGCGUGGGGGAGCAAACAGG